rnacentral:rRNA from 1 species
CCUACGGGAGGCUGCAGUCGAGAAUCAUUCACAAUGGGGGAAACCCUGACGGUGCGACGCCGCGUGGGGGAAUGAAGGCUUUCGGUCUGUAAACUCUUGUCACGUGGGAGCAAAUUAAAAAGAUAGUACCACAAGAGGAAGAGACGCCGAACUCGGUGCCCGCAGCCGCGGUACUACAGAGGUGUCACGCGUUGUCCGGAAUCACUGGGCGUAAAGCGUGCGUAGGCGGUUUCGUAAGUCGUGGGUGAAAGGCGCGGGCACAACCCGCGGACGGCACAUGAUACUGCGAGACUAGAGUAAGGGAGGGGGGACCGGAAUUCUCGGUGUAGCAGUGAAAUGCGUAGAUAUCGGGAGGAACACUCGUGGCGAAGGCGAGUUCCUGGACAUUAACUGACGCUGAGGCACGAAGGCCAGGGGAGCGAAAGGGAUUAGAUACCCCUGUAGUC